ACAUACUAGCUCAAAUGGUAGAGCGCUUGAUUGCUAAUCUAGUGGUAGCAGGUUCAAAUCCUGCGUAUGAACCA
rnacentral:tRNA from 1 species